rnacentral:hammerhead_ribozyme from 1 species
GUCCUAAUGAAGAGUCCCAGGACAGGCGGACGAAACAGCUGUCCAGUAC